CGCGUAGGCGGUUUGCUAAGUCCGCUGUGAAAGCCCCGGGCUUAACCUGGGAACUGCAGUGGAUACUGGCAAGCUAGAGUAUGGUAGAGGAGAGUGGAAUUUCCGGUGUAGCAGUGAAAUGCGUAGAGAUCGGAAGGAACACCAGUGGCGAAGGCGGCUCUCUGGACCAAUACUGACGCUGAGGUGCGAAAGCGUGGGGAGCAAACAG
rnacentral:rRNA from 1 species